GCAAUGCCCGAAAGGGUGACCCAGCAACGCCGCGUGGAGGAUGAAGGUCGUAAGAUUGUAAACUCCUGUUAGAGGGGAAGAAUAACUAAGUUUGGAGGUUAGUAUGACUGUACCCUCAGAGAAAGCCCCGGCUAACUACGUGCCAGCAGCCGCGGUAAUAAGUAGGGGGCAAGCGUUGUCCGGCUUUACUGGGUGUAACGGGCGCGCAGGCGGGAUAAAAAGUCAGUGGUGAAAUCCUACAGCUUAACUGUAGAACUGCCUUUGAUACGUUUAUUCUUGAUUUCAGCGGAGAGAGACGGAAUUCCAGGGGUACUGGUGAAAUACGUAGAUA
rnacentral:rRNA from 1 species